UCCAAAAGAGACGUCUGACUUAAAAUUGUGGCCUUAAUGUAAUUAGAAAUCCCUGUCCCCGGUUGGAAGCAACCAUCCAUUUUAAUGAAAAUAAAUUCUCCAAGAGGCCUGUAGGUGGCGAUAUCAAAGCAGGUAUACCAGCCAGAAGCCACAGCUGAAGCGCAACAAUGGAGCUGCUUAAAUUUUUUCAGUUGAAGAAGCUCCAGAAAAGGUACCCGAGGCAGAAGCUCCAGAAGAGGCACCCGCACCCGAGGCAGAAGCACCAGGAGAGUCACCCGCACCCGAGGCAGAAGCACCAGGAAAGUCAUCUGCAGAAGAGGCACCCGAGGCAGAAGCUCCAGCAAAUCUUUUUUUUUUUUCCAGAAAUGUGAUAAAAUCUGAAAAUCUAAUUGUAUGUAGCACAAGGUGCGUUAAUGUUCGUAAACGUGCCUACAAAAGGCUGUAUGUACAAAAAUAUGUUGCAAAUAGGAUUUUUACUGGCAAAUGAACAAAAAAGAAUAAGAAUUUGGUUGUUUCUUUAGAUUUGACUGCAGAUAAAAAAAAGUUUUUUUUUUUUUAUCAAACCAUAACAGACUGUAAAAUGAACCAAAGAAAAUGUAAUGCUUGUUUAUUUUUUGUUUAUGGAGUUAUGGUCCUGUUUAGAUAUUUUUUUUAUUUUUUUGCUACAGUGUCAUUACUAAGUUUUCAAAACACAACCUAAACAAAUGUAAAAGAUUUCUGAAUAGCAACUCUGUAUGGAACUAAUCAUAACAACAAAUGAAUAUCUGUAGGGAGCACAUGUAGUAGUUGUCAGGGUGCGAGUGAAACAGGAGGCGGAAGCCAGAGUACAGCUCGCUCAGGUUUUAAUGACGAAAAUGAGGGAGAGAUACGCACGCACGCACGCACUCACACACGCACAUGCACGGCAGUCCUUAGGUUGACAGAGUCCGAGGUGCCCUUGGGGAGAAGCGUAGCUAGUCCGAGGUGCGCCGGGGGGAAAACGCACAGCCGAUACAGGAUGGUGAAGUCCGGAAGGCCCGGAACACACAGAGUCCUGCGUGAAACCAUGAACACAUACAAUAACGAACAAGGGAGUGAGUUUGAGUGAGGAGCUUAUGUAGAAGCGGGGUGGAGUGAUGAUGAGCCCCAGGUGUGCGUGGUUAAGCAUGGAGCUUUAGGGAGAGCGGAGGCAUGAGAGCCACCAAAGGGGGCAUGGCAGGUGGAAGCCAUUUGAAGAAUAAAUUCAACAGCUCCCCCUGUUUUUCUGUAAAAAAAAAAUGUGCAACCACACUGGCCAUUUCUAGAUGGAUAACAUUCAGGUUCCUUGCAUUAGACAAUAAACAAAAGCUGGCAUCAUGACAUUUAGAUAUUAUGUUUACUUUUAAGCUUCUUAAGCCUAAAAGAGUAGUUUAAUGUUAAAUGUACUAAUCUAACUGUUUAUUCCUUUGUUCAGGGAGGCAACGAAGAAAGUUAUAAAAAUCAACCUAAUAAACCUUUCGGAAUCUGCUUCUGAGGUUCUAUUUCCUACAUCAGCAGUUUAAUACACUAAACCAGAGGGAUUUUUUUUUUACCUCUGCCAUUUCAAACAGAUCGAAUUAUGAAGUUAAAAAUACAGUGCUUAAUCUAUGCUAUUAUUUAUUAAAAUGGGAAUAAUUAUAAUAUAGAGGAUAUAAGGUUAAAAUAAGAAAAUGCAAGCUUUCUCUAACAAGUGAUAUGAAGGAUCACUGACAGUAGUUGUGUGAUGCUUUGCAUAAAUUUGUGCUUGAUGAAAUGCAUAUUUCCUUGCAUCUGUGGUGGUGUUUGUAGUAGCUGAGCUGAAGCAGGAAUGUGCUAUCCGGGGACUGGGGUAAGAGAGAUCUGAUUGCCCGGCUGCAGGUGUACAUCAAUGAUGAUAUGUAUGUGUGUGGAACCGCAUCUCUUAUGUUAUAUCUUAAUUCACAUUCAGGGAGGUUUAUUUCUAUGUGAGAUGGUUGUGUUUGGUUGCAGAGUAACUCCUGUGCCUUUUUAGUUUUAUCACUCCAGUUUAAACAUCAACUGGCUGAAUGAAAGUCAACUGUGGAUGAAUUUUAUAAUGCUUGUAUAAGAAUAAAAAUGCCAGCAAAGUUGAUAUAAAAUGUGUUUGAAAGUGUUUUAAUUGGUACAUUACGCUGUAUGUUACCUCCUUUUAGUCUGUGCAUAUUAAAACUAAAAUUAGAAAAAC